rnacentral:rRNA from 1 species
CGCGUAGGCGGGAUGGCAAGUCGGUCGUGAAAUCCCUCGGCUCAACUGAGGAUCGUCGAUCGAUACUGCCGUUCUUGAGGAUUGCAGAGGAGACUGGAAUUCCCGGUGUAGCGGUGAAAUGUGUAGAGAUCGGGAGGAACACCGGUGGCGAAGGCGGGUCUCUGGGCAAUUCCUGACGCUGAGGCGCGAAAGCGUGGGGAGCAAACGGGAUUAGAUACCCCGGUAGUCCACGCUGUAAACGAUGACGACUAGGUGUGGGGGGGUUCAGUCCCUUCCGUGCCGCAGCUAACGCAUUAAGUCGUCCGCCUGGGGAGUACGGCCGCAAGGUUGAA